rnacentral:lncRNA from 1 species
GGGCUGGCAAAAAGUAAUAGAAAUAAAGUAAAAUAAAAAAGAAAGUAAUAGAAACAAAAACAGUUUUCUUACUAUAUAUUGAUUGAUUGUCCCUAUCAAGUCAUUUUAUUUCAGCUAGCUUUUGGAAGAUUGAUAGAGUUUAUAUAAGUAAAGAAGAUAAUUUCUUUUUUAUUACCAUGAGAAAUCUCAACACCAUUCUAAAGAUUUAUGGAAAAUAAAAAUAAUGUUCCAUAUUCACCUAAUUUUGCUUUACUUACU